UUCCAGCUCCAAUAGCGUAUAUUAAAGUUGUUGCUGUUAAAAAGCUCGUAGUUGAAUUUCGGGGUCAGUAGGCUGGUCGUGCCACAGGUAUGUACUGGUCUCACUGAUUCCUCCUUCCUGAUGAACCGUAAUGCCAUUAAUUUGGUGUUGCGGGGAGACUGGACUGUUACUUUGAAAAAAUUAGAGUGUUUAAAGCAGGCUAACGCUUGAAUACAUUAGCAUGGAAUAACGAAAUAGGACGUUCGAUCUUAUUUUGUUGGUUUCUAAGAUUGACGUAAUGAUUAAUAGGGAUAGUUGGGGGCAUUAGUAUUCAAUUGUCAGAGGUGAAAUUCUUGGAUUUAUUGAAGACUAACUACUGCGAAAGCAUUUGCCAAGGAUGUUUUCAUUAAUCAAGAACGAAAGUUAGGGGAUCGAAGACGAUCAGAUACCGUCGUAGUCUUAACCAUAAACUAUGCCGACUAGGGAUCGG
rnacentral:rRNA from 1 species